rnacentral:rRNA from 1 species
GACGAACGCUGGCGGCGUGCUUAACACAUGCAAGUCGAACGGAAAGGCCCUGCUUUUGUUGGGUGCACGAUUGGCUAACGGGUGCGUAACACGUGAUUACCCUGCCCUUGACUGUCGGAUAACUUCGGGAAACUGUGGCUAAUACCAGCUAGUAGCUCCUGCUGCAUGGUGUGGGUUGGAAAUUUUCGGCGGUUGGGGAUGGACUCGCGGCUUAUGAGCCCGUAGGUGUGGUAGCUGCUUACCAAGGCGUUGACGGGUAGCCGGCCUGAGAGGGUGACCGGCCACAUUGGGACUGAGAUACGGCCCAGACUGCUACGGGAGGCAGGAGUGGGGAAUAGUGCACGAUGGGCGGAAGCCGGAUGCAGGAACGCCGCGUGCGGGAUGACGGCCUUCGGGUUGUAAACCGCGUUCGCCUGUGACGAAGAGUGAGUGACGGUAAUGGGUAAAGAAGCACCGGCUAACUACGUG